CUAACCAACACCACGCCUCUCGCGCCGUAUCGUACAGCAGCGACACCCGGUACGUGACCUCGGUACCGCAGCGUUUGCAAGAAAAAUAUAUGGAGCGUAAACACGCAACACACGUGUACAGCAUGUGUACGUGCCGCUUGUUUGGAGCAACAGAAAUGGUGUGUUGUAUGCAUGUGCACGCCAGUACAUGCGCAAGAGGUCAGAACCUUAGAGAGAACUGUCAAAAGCAAUAAACGAUGGUACGAUACAAUGUAGAACGUUGUCGAGUAUGUGAUCGUCAUCAUUUACUCCUUGAGAAGUAAUGAUUUUAUCGAUGAUUAAUAAAUUCUGAACGACAUGGAAUUCUGGAUGACCGAGAAUUUCAUCUUUCAUCAUUCAAGAUCAAGUUAAGAGUGUAUACCUG